CCUUACAGCCAUGCCACCCAUGCCGUAUCUCAUCUGAUCUCAGAAGCUAAGCAGGGUUUCGCCUGGUUAAUACUUGGAUGGGAGACUGCUUGGGAAUACCAGGUGCUGUAAACU
rnacentral:rRNA from 1 species